UGGGGAAUAUUGGACAAUGGGCGAAAGCCUGAUCCAGCAAUGCCGCGUGAGUGAUGAAGGCCUUAGGGUUGUAAAGCUCUUUUACCCGGGAUGAUAAUGACAGUACCGGGAGAAUAAGCUCCGGCUAACUUCGUGCCAGCAGCCGCGGUAAUACGAGGGGAGCUAGCGUUAUUCGGAAUUACUGGGCGUAAAGCGCACGUAGGCGGCUUUGUAAGUUAGAGGUGAAAGCCCAGAGCUCAACUCUGGAAUUGCCUUUAAGACUGCAUCGCUUGAAUCCAGGAGAGGUGAGUGGAAUUCCGAGUGUAGAGGUGAAAUUCGUAGAUAUUCGGAAGAACACCAGUGGCGAAGGCGGCUCACUGGACUGGUAUUGACGCUGAGGUGCGAAAGCGUGGGGAGCAAACA
rnacentral:rRNA from 1 species